rnacentral:rRNA from 1 species
UACGUAGGGUCCGAGCGUUGUCCGGAAUUAUUGGGCGUAAAGAGCUCGUAGGCGGUCUGUCGCGUCUGCUGUGAAAACUCAGGGCUUAACCCUGAGCUUGCAGUGGGUACGGGCAGACUAGAGUGCGGUAGGGGAGACUGGAAUUCCUGGUGUAGCGGUGAAAUGCGCAGAUAUCGGGAGGAACACCUAUGGGCGAAGGCAGCUUGCUGGGACGGCACUGACGCUGAGAACGCGAAAGCGUGGGGAGCAAACAGG